UUAUGCAUGGCUCGAAUUGGGAAUCUUGAAGCCCUAAUUUGAACCAUCACCGCCUCCUAUUGAUUUCAAUCCUCGAGAUAGUCACCAUGCCGAAGGUCCUCGGCACCGGGCACCCUCUACUUCCGGCGGCACCAGGCGGCCGAGUACCCCGUCGAAGAUCGCCGUUACCAAUUGUCUGAAGACCGCCCGUGGCGCGGCCUCUUCACGAGAUCUCCACCUUGGGCUGGCGAAGCAGGUUUACGAGACCGAGCUUCUGGUGUCGGGCCGCGGCCGAAAGACGGUUCCGUUACACAGGGUCAUGAUCCUGGAAGUGAGCCGGUACUCGGAGAACUAUCUGUGUCUAAACUUUGAUCCGACGACCGCGACAUCCGAGCAUGUCAUGUCGUUGUUCUUCAUGGUCAACGAGAAAGUGAGUUGGUUGGUUGCCAAUUUUGGAUUUUUGACGGGGAAACAGUAAAAGAUAUAAAUGUUUUCCUAUUACAUUAUUGAUAUAUGUUCUGAUUUCCUGAGUUCCGUGAGAAUGUGGCUGCAUGGAUUUGUUUUCAUGACCGGAAGGAUUCAUUCAGGGGGUUCUCCUGCUAAUCGAACAGGGAAGAGCUUUACGUAUCGCCGAGAAGACAAAUUACUUGCUUUUCAGGUUUGGUCGCUCAUCAAAAGCACCGGGAUGAUCUAACCUGGUCCGAACCCAAGGUUGAAGCUAGAAUCACCCUUGAUAUGGAUCCUAAAGUCAAUGAAGGGAGAAAUGAAUGGGAAGAAGAUUCGAGAAGUCGAAUCGAGUCUUUGCAAGCUUUCAUUCCUGCGACAAACGAUGGUCAUCGACCUCGCCCCCAACUCGGCUUUUUUUUUAUAGAUUUCAUAUUCAGAGAGUGAGAGAGAAUCUAUGUAUAGUCGGGUCUUCAACUACUUACGAUCAGGAAAAUAUUCUUCUUCUGAUGGCUCUUGAUCGGAAGAAUAUUUUUCAUUAAUGUGGUUAUUGCUGAGAUAGUGAAUUCGAUCCAAUUGAUUUUCUCAUAA